CUGCUUCUUGUUCCAUGUACGUGUAAGUCUUGCUAAAGAAGCAACAGAAACUGGUCUAUACGUCAAGUUAAUACCGCGCUUACUGGGACAAGUGGUAACAUGAGGUCUCAUAGUUUCGACGCUAGCCAAGUUGUUAAGGGCUUAAUUAUUUGAAGAGCGACUCGACGUAAAUUGAAGAUGAAGGCAAACUCGAACGUCGCACGCGGUUAAUUAAAGGUCCUUCCAAGCUCGUUGACCUCAUGGAAGACUACUUCCGUAGAUAAGCCGUCCAAAACACGGGUCAUUUUGAAAUGUUUUGGGAAAGACUACCUCAUUACCCCAUACUCUUUAAGGACAAAACAUUAAUCUCAUAGUUAAGCAUGUACAAUGCACUGAUGAUAACAAACACAAAGGAAGUUAAAGACAAUCAAUAGCAUUGG